UAAGCUCCAAGCCUCGGGGUCUAGGAGGAGAGAAGGGAGCAGGAAUCCUCCUUCCGAAUGCCAACCCCGGGAGGGCAGGGCUGGAUCUUCCCUGGCGGCUGCUCCACCUCCAGCACGGAGAACAUAGCCCGGCACACAAUAAGGAGACUGAGACUGAGAGAAGUAAAGGUUCAUGCCGGAGGAGUUGAGGGUAAACCCAGGGUAAACCUGUGCCUUCCUGCUUACCCUCCCACCAAGCUGAAAGGGGCCUCAUGCACAGAGAAUGAAAAAAG